CACCGGCGGCUCGAGUGGUGGCCACUUUUAUUGGGUCUAAAGCGUCCGAAGCCGGCUUGGCAAGUCCCCUGGGAAAUCUGGCGGCUUAACCGUCAGGCGUCCAGAGGAUACUGCCAGGCUUGGGACCGGGAGAGGUGAGAGGUACCUCAGGGGUAGGGGUGAAAUCUUGUGAUCCCUGAGGGACCACCAGUGGCGAAGGCGUCUCACUAGAACGGGUCCGACGGUCAGGGACGAAAGCUGGGGGCACGAACCGG
rnacentral:rRNA from 1 species